GACGAACGCUGGCGGCGUGCUUAACACAUGCAAGUCGAACGGAAAGGCCCCUUUGGGGGUACUCGAGUGGCGAACGGGGGGGUAACACGUGAGUAACCUGCCCUUGCCUUCGGGAUAACUUCAGGAAACGAGGGCUAAUACCGGUAAGGAAUCCUUGCUGCAUGGUGGGGGUUGGAAAGCUUCGGCGGGUUUGGAUGGACUCGCGGCAUAUCAGCUUGUUGGUGGGGUAGUGGCUUACCAAGGCUGUGAAGGGUAGCCGGCCUGCGCGGGCGACCGGCCACAUUGGGACUGAGAUACGGCCCCGACUCCGACGGGAGGCGGCAGUGGGGAAUAUUGCACAAUGGGCGGAAGCCUGAUGCAGCAAGGCCGCGUGCGGGAUGACGGCCUUCGGGUUGUAAACCGCUUUCAGCAGGGGCGAAGCUUGUGGUGACGGUACCUGCAGAAGAAGCACCGGCUAACUACGUG
rnacentral:rRNA from 1 species